rnacentral:rRNA from 1 species
CCAGACUCCUACGGGAGGCAGCAGUGGGGAAUAUUGCACAAUGGGGGAAACCCUGAUGCAGCGACGCCGCGUGAGUGAAGAAGUAUUUCGGUAUGUAAAGCUCUAUCAGCAGGGAAGAUAAUGACGGUACCUGACUAAGAAGCCCCGGCUAACUACGUGCCAGCAGCUGCGGUAAUACGUAGGGGGCAAGCGUUAUCCGGAUUUACUGGGUGUAAAGGGUGCGUAGGUGGCAGGGCAAGUCAGAUGUGAAAGCCCGGGGCUCAACCCCGGUACUGCAUUUGAAACUGUCCAGCUGGAGUGCAGGAGAGGUAAGCGGAAUUCCUAGUGUAGCGGUGAAAUGCGUAGAUAUUAGGAGGAACACCAGUGGCGGAGGCGGCUUACUGGACUGUAACUGACACUGAGGCACGAAAGCGUGGGGAGCAAACAGGAUUAGAUACCCGCGUAUAA